CAGCCGCCGCGGGAAAACGUAGGGUGCAAGCGUUAAUCGGAAUUACUGGGCGUAAAGCGUGCGCAGGCGGUUAUAUAAGACAGAUGUGAAAUCCCCGGGCUCAACCUGGGAACUGCAUUUGUGACUGUAUAGCUAGAGUACGGCAGAGGGGGAUGGAAUUCCGCGUGUAGCAGUGAAAUGCGUAGAUAUGCGGAGGAACACCGAUGGCGAAGGCAAUCCCCUGGGCCUGUACUGACGCUCAUGCACGAAAGCGUGGGGAGCAAACAGGAUUAGAGACCCCUGUAGUCCCUGUCUCUUAUAC
rnacentral:rRNA from 1 species